UGCCUUACAGCUUGAGCUGUGCUCGUUCCUUGGCGGCGGCGGUGACUCGGGAACCGGGUGCCGGGUUCGGAGCUGCUCCUCCUCUCUCCGGCUCUGCAGUCCCGUGGUUCCCCGAGAAAAAAGACACGGUUAGCUUCCCGACCUUGUCUCGAAAUUCAUCUCUCAACGCCGCGUCUGCAGCCUCCCCACCCGGCGUCGCUCCGAGCGGCUAGGCCCUCCUCCAGGCCACGUUCAAGGACCUGAGGGUUUCCCCUAGACUACCCCCCCACCGCGCGUCACCCCCUGCGCUUAAUGCUUAGGAAUUUUGGUUCCAAACGAACCGAAGAAUUAAAUAUCCGUGUGCCUCACAGAUCUUUAAGCAUCUUAGGGACAUUAUGUAAUAAAAUUCUCAAACUCAAAAUGUACAGAAUUAGGUUGAAAUUGAAAUCUCCCGGGACUGCACUGUUGCGGAAGGUAGCCACAAGAGGUUAAGUGAGCGCUUGAAAUGCAGCUAGUUCGAAAGCGGUUGUGCUGUUAGUGUUGACAAUACACCGUGCAUGUAG
rnacentral:lncRNA from 1 species